GACGAACGCUGGCGGCGUGCUUAACACAUGCAAGUCGAACGGAAAGGCCCUGCUUUUGUGGGGUGCUCGAGUGGCGAACGGGUGAGUAACACGUGAGUAACCUGCCCUUGACUUUGGGAUAACUUCAGGAAACUGGGGCUAAUACCGGAUAGGAGCUCCUGCUGCAUGGUGGGGGUUGGAAAGUUUCGGCGGUUGGGGAUGGACUCGCGGCUUAUCAGCUUGUUGGUGGGGUAGUGGCUUACCAAGGCUUUGACGGGUAGCCGGCCUGAGAGGGUGACCGGCCAACAUUGGACCGAGGUUACGGCCAAGACUCCACCGGGGGGAAGAAGUGGGGAAUUUUGCAAAAUGGGGGAAGGCCGGAUGAGGCAACGCGCCGUGCGGAAUGCCGGCCUUCGGUUGGUAACCGCUUUCGCCUGUGACGAAGCGUGAGUGACGGUAAUGGGUAAAGAAGCACCGGCUAACUACGUG
rnacentral:rRNA from 1 species